UCCCGCCUGGUCUUAUUGUUGCCUCAGGUCAGAUGUCGCCUAUUUUUUUCUGCCUGUCAGUGUAAGUUAAUCUCUUCGGUAGGUGCUGUUAUCUAUAUAAUAUUUACCAUAAGAGUUGAAAUAUGUUUGUUCAAAAUAUGUGCUUUUGUACGCUGUUUUAGAGUUGCCUCAGGUGGCGCCCAGUUAACGUUGGUCCAUCAUUGUUAUCACUCCGGUAAGUGGUGGUUCUUUGUGUAUCAAUUUAAGCCAUUAUUUAAAUGAACAUUGUUCACAAUAUGCACCUUUACAACGGUGUAGGUGUCGGCAAGUUAGUCAUUUCAGUUUUUCCUGCUUUGUCUUCGAGUUGCCUGAGAAGGGUCAGACGAGCGCGAGGUUUUUUUUUUUUUCUCGACAGUGCAAUCGCUCUGGCAAGUAAUGUUCUAUGCAGGCUAUGAGAAUAAUUAACAACAAGGUCUGAAUGGUAUUUGUUCACAAAAUGUGCUUCUGUACAGCUGCUUAGGUGGCUCUAAACUGGUCAGUUCAACCUCUCCUGCUUCGUCUUCGAGAAGUCUUUUAGUCAUUCGGUGGCUUUUUUUCCCAACAGUAUCAUGAUGUAGGUUGAGGCAGUGCAAGAUCUGCAGAUUUGAACACCCUGCCCAGGAGGUCCUUUUGAAACAUGACCAAUUGUGCCACUACCAAGGAAGAUACUGCCAACUACCCUGCCUCUACACAGAUUGCAUCUGCUCCUUUAAAACCACUGGUUGAAGUCUCACCUUUUAAGAUCACAAAAGUGCUUAUCUUCACGUGAGAGUCACUUAACAUUGAAUGGUGAAUUGUGUGACUUUUUAGGUAAUUUGUAAAACACCCUAUUACUCCAAACAUAUAAGGAGCCAUUUUAAAAAAAAAAUCAUGAAACUUUAAGGUGCCCUUUUAGCCAGUGUGGUUUUUAAAACACAUCUGAUUUCAUCAUCCAGUGGUCACAGAAGUCAAAAACAUUGCAGCUUUUCCAUUACAGACUUUAAAGCAAAUAUCAUUAUUCAAAAUGUAGAACCAAAAGACAGUGAGCCACAAACUCUGUUGCUAUGCACACACUUUUAUCACCAUUGCAGUUAAUUUUAUAUUGCUUGUGAUAGAUAUGAAGGACAGAUAUGAAAGCCAAUACAUUUUUGACUGGACCUGUUGUUAUUUUUUUAUUAUUUUGGACUUGAAUUUUGUGAAAGUUUUUAUUUGAUGCUUUCCCAAUUUAAUUAACUGGUAGAAGUUUUUAAUUUUGCAACACAAAUGUAACAAAGAAGCUCUUAACUUGAAAAAAACCUUCAAUUGUAAUUAAUUUUAUUGCGAAUGAAAUGACUUGAUUUGGUUUGUGAUUUAAACUUGCUGUUCUACAAAAAAAAUAUAUAUAUAUUGAUGAAAUAAAAAGAAAUUGUGAUUCUGUCCAUUUAAAGAUUUUUUUAAGGAACAAUGUUGUACUGGGUAGCAUUUAAUAAAUUAAUUCACUCAUAUUGGAUUGACAGUUUUGUGCUGAACUUUAAACUGCUUGAGUAAAACCUAAAGUUCUCAAGCUGCACUGUAAAAACC